GUCCACGCCGUAAACGAUGGAUACUAGCUGUUGGGAGCAAUCUCAGUGGCUAAGCGAAAGUGAUAAGUAUCCCACCUGGGGAGUACGUUCGCAAGAAUGAAACUCAAAGGAAUUGACGGGGGCCCGCACAAGCGGUGGAGCAUGUGGUUUAAUUCGAUGAUACGCGAGGAACCUUACCAAGGCUUAAAUGUAGAUUGACCGAUUUGGAAACAGAUCUUUCGCAAGACAAUUUACAAGGUGCUGCAUGGUUGUCGU
rnacentral:rRNA from 1 species